CAAGUCGAGCGAGAAGACGUAGCAAUACGUUUGUAAAGCGGCGAACGGGUGAGGAAUACAUGGGUAACCUACCCUCGAGUGGGGAAUAACUAGCCGAAAGGUUAGCUAAUACCGCGUACGCUUCUUGGACUUCGGUUCAGGGAGGAAAGCGAUACCGUGGGUAUCGCGCUCUUGGAUGGGCUCAUGUCCUAUCAGCUUGUUGGUGAGGUAACGGCUCACCAAGGCUUCGACGGGUAGCUGGUCUGAGAGGACGAUCAGCCACACUGGCACUGCGACACGGGCCAGACUCCUACGGGAGGCAGCAGUAAGGAAUAUUGCGCAAUGGGCGAAAGCCUGACGCAGCGACGCCGCGUGGGGGAUGAAGGUCUUCGGAUUGUAAACCCCUUUCGGGAGGGAAGAUGGAAUGGGGUAACCCAUUCGGACGGUACCUCCAGAAGCAGCCACGGCUAACUUCGUGCCAGCAGCCGCGGUAAUACGAAGGUGGCAAGCGUUAUUCGGAUUUACUGGGCGUACAGGGAGCGUAGGCGGUUCGGUAAGCCCUUUGUGAAAUCUCCAGGCUUAACCUGGAACAGUCGGAGGGGACUGCCGGGCUAGAGGACGGGAGAGGAGCGCGGAAUUCCCGGUGUAGCGGUGAAAUGCGUAGAGAUCGGGAGGAAGGCCGGUGGCGAAGGCGGCGCUCUGGAACGUUUCUGACGCUGAGGCUCGAAAGCGUGGGGAGCAAACAGGAUUAGAUACCCUGGUAGUCCACGCCUUAAACUAUGAAUACUAAGUGUCGGCGGGUUACCGCCGGUGCCGCAGCUAACGCAUUAAGUAUUCCGCCUGGGAAGUACGG
rnacentral:rRNA from 1 species